rnacentral:rRNA from 1 species
UUACCGCGGGUGCUGGCACGGAGUUAGCCGAUGCUUAUUCUUACAGUACCGUCAUCUGAGUACUCGUACUCAUUAUUCUUCCUGUAUAAAAGCAGUUUACAACCCAUAGGGCAGUCUUCCUGCACGCGGCAUGGCUGGAUCAGAGUUGCCUCCAUUGUCCAAUAUUCCUCACUGCUGCCUCCCGUAGGAGUCUGGUCCGUGUCUCAGUACCAGUGUGGGGGAUCUCCCUCUCAGGACCCCUACCUAUCGUCGCCUUGGUAAGCCGUUACCUUACCAACUAACUAAUAGGACGCAUACUUAUCUAUCACCGCCGAAACUUUAAUAUAUAAUUAAUGCCAAUCAUAUAUACCAUGGGGGAUUAAUUCAAAUUUCUUCGAGCUAUACCCCUGUGAUAGGUAAAUUGUAUACGCGUUACUCACCCGUGCGCCACUCGUCAUCAGAUUGCAAGCAAUCUAUGUUACCGUUCGACUUGCAUGUGUUAAGCCUGCCGCUAGCGUUCAUCCUGAGCCAUGAUCAAACUC